CCUGCCCCUGGAGACAUUGGAGGUGCUGCUGCUGUGUCACCUGUGAGUCAGGAGGUGACAGAGAGGAGAGAGGCUGUGUCUGUCCUCAGUGUUCCAACCUGUGAACACCUGAAUGAUUAGUAGCCUAACACU